UGGAGAAACAAAGUCACGCGUAUAUAAAAUGUACUUUUGUAAAAUUUAAGAGUAACGAGCUCUAAAUAUUUUGUUCAAAACAUUUUGGUAUUCUUGAACCCUUGUAGCCUUCUAGUUUUGCAGUGAUCAUGGCAACACAUAUUUUCAGCGGCACUGAAUGAUUUUUUUUUUGAAUAAAUCGAAGAGCAUCAAUUUCAUUGAAUGGAGCAGGAAACGGCACUGAAAUAUCAAGAACACUGGAACUUUUUUUGGUGCUGGUACCCUGGUUGAGAUUCCACAUGCUUCCCAUUUCUACAGCCACUUGAGUAAUAGUAUGGGUCCUCUCUUCCUCUUCUUAUUUUCAUUCCCAAAUAUGGAGUGAAGGAAAAUAGCAAGGAACUGAGCAGCUUGCCGGUAUAUAUGAUAUUGAUAUAUAUAACUCACCAUGCAUCAUGUAGGUAGUGAUAGCCAUAGACUAUAAAUGACAUACCAACAAGAAACAUAAAGAGCAUUCCCAAAUCAGGAACACACAUGACAUGAUUUUGAUGGUUAGCACUUAACUUUGUAGUAAGCAUAGUUAACAGUAACCAAGUUAUGUAAUGUCGUUGGGCUAGACUAUGAGGCUAGUGGGCCUGUUCGUCUGCCUGUGCUGCGGCUGCGGUGCAGCCGGCACCAACGGUGCCACACACACAUGGCGCAGCCGCAGCCGCCGCAGAUAGACAGCCGAAUAGGCCCAGUAUUUGUUAUCUUAAAAAUAAAUAAAAGAAGAUAGGUGCUACGGAGUUGUGUUGCUUUGGAUAGACGUGUGAUAGUGCGAGCCUAGCUUUGCCUUGCUAGUUUUCCGGCAGCUGGUAGGUCUUGCCUUCGUUACAACUUGACUAUGAAGUCAUACAACCAGCGGUGGAGCGAGGCCCAGCAAAUCCUAGGUUGAUGCGACACUGCUCAAGCGGGUGGUAGAAUAUGCAAGCCCCUUUCAACGCAAGAAGUAGAAGGUGAGGGCUUCGUUCUUGAUGCCAGUGCAAUCGAUACUCCUGGUCCAUGGCUGUAGCAAUUUACCACACAAUGUUGCAAAUCCUACACCUACAACUACCCGUUCUGCAUUGGAAUUAUUCCCGAAGCCUUCCAUUCUCAUGCUCGUCGAAGAAUUUGACUUUCAUACUAGUGGGAAGAGAAGGAGAAGAACAAUCAAAAGGGCUAGGUAAUAUUUCACAGGAUGUCUGGAGUGAGAACCGUAUAUAUAAUACAACACAACCCAUCUGCAGUAUAGUAUGUCUAUAUAUAUCCUACUACAUUUUCUCACUUAUGUAAUGUGCUAAUUAAAGAUGUGUUGUUGGUGUUGCCUUAUAUCUUCCACUCUGUAGAGCCAAGAUUAUCCCCGUUUACUUCUUUUAUUGUACAAAAGUAACUGCAUCAUUGUACAAAAGUAACUGCAUCGUUUGGUUCUUGCCAGUCCUCGAGGUGGUACCAUUCGCUUGGCCAGCUCUUGCCACUCCUUCUAGCGAGACAACUAUAUUUCCGUGUUUUUGUUUUUAAAAAGGGUAUAUUCUUGCAAAACACGUGAGAAAAUAAUAUAUUUUCAGAAAAAAAAAAGUGCUACAUACCAAACAUCCAUGUAUGAUGCAUGAGUAAAAUUUUACUCCCUGUGUGUUUGUAAAACUGAAUAUAUCCACAAGUACAGUUUGACUAAGACAUGAUAUACUACAGCAUAAUAGCACACGAUACAUGUGGUUUAGCACUAUGUACCAUGCAUUUAACGCUUGCUUCUAGGAAAGUACUACAAGACCAUUCACUCCGAGCAAGUGUACCAAUUUACUAUUUAGCUAACAAGCUAGUUUCAAACAAAUUAAUAGAGCUAAAUCAAGUAAGAAAAUUCUAUAAAGUUUUUAUAUUCCAAGUAAGGACCUCUAAGAAUUCUCAAGUUUUGAAUGGAGCACAAUCAACCAGUGACCCUAUGUCACGGAAGAUGGCACGCCAUGUUCCAACCUUUGACUGUGGCUCCAAUCAAUAAUGCAGUUAGUGGUUCCAAUCAAUUCCUCAGUCAACAAACCAGUUUCAGGAAGGAGAAGAGGGCGCCAAGUAGCUUCUUGAUUCCAGUCUUAUCAAUGCUAUGGCUAUUCACUAAAGAAUGAUGCAAAGCCUAUAUAUACAACUAUCCAACCAGCACUGAAACCAUUCCCAAAGCCUUCCAUUCUCAUGUUCGUCAGAGAACUAGAAUUUCAAAAUUAGUGGGAAGAGAAGGAUAAGAUCAUAACAACCAAAAGGGCUAGGUAAUAUUUGAUAGGAUGUAUGGAGUGAGCAACAUGUACGGGAGAUGACAUCCUAGUGUACUUGGGGAAGAAAGUUCAAUGGCACAGGAAGUCGUCCGACACUAAGGAGCGGUAGGGACAAAUUGGUGCCCCUCGUGCCGUUGAAUGAGAGGGAAAUCUCCAUCGAAGCUGAACAGAAGUGAGAAAUGGCUGCCGCUCUGACCUCCAUGUUUGCUAGCUCUUAGCUGCGGUCACACUGAACAAGAUCGAGGAAGAGAUCAAGGAGCUUGCCAUUAAGAUUGAUUAGUAUCCAAUAGGCAUCACAAUUGGAGAAUCCAAUAUUACAAAAUUUUCUUCCAUGUUUAAUGCUUGUAAUUCUGUUGAGAUUCCACAUGCCUCCUAUUUCCCAUUGGCCACGUUGAGAAAUAGUACUCUGUGUUAUCUUCCACUACCUAAGCAAUGAGUACAACUAUACACAAGAUGAUAUAAAUGUAA